CCCACCUUACUUGAGCAGGAUCUGUUCUAUAGGCUCGUACCACUGUAUCCUUGAUUUCUAAGGAGACAAGAAACUAUGUCUGGUGGAUGAAUCGUGGCCAUUUGACCAGAGCUUGAUUAACAGCAACCAUGCCCUUCUUUGGGUCAUGGUGACUUAGAUGAUCGUUCUCAGCUCCGAUCAUGGUGCCGGGAUGGUCUAAUGGCUGUCUGACAGACA